UGGCAACAAUUGUCCAAAAUACCAGGCCUCUCGGCCAGCCAUGUGAGGCUCCCUUUCAAAGCUGAGGCUGUCUUAAACAGAUAGCCUGUUUCAGCAUUGGACACAAGUGCAGAAAACCUUUUCAAAACUAGCUGCCAGCCCUGGCUGGUUUGGCUCAGUGGAUCGAGCGUCGGCUUGCGGACUGAAGGGUCCCAGGUUUGAUUCCGGUGAAGGGCAUGUACCUUGGUUGUGGGCACAUCCCCACUGGGGGGGGGGGGGGGGGAGGUGUAGGAGGCAGCUGAUCGAUGUUUCUAACUCUCUAUCCCUCUCCCUUCCUCUCUGCAAAAAAUCAAUAAAAUAUAUGUGUAAAAAAAAAAAAAGAAAGAAACCUAGCUGCCAAGUGAUGGGGAAAGUUCUUGUGUGAAGUGCUGGACUGAAGAUACUUAGACAUUCUCAUUGCCAGAACUGGACUUGCAGUUACUGGGUUUGAUCUGCUCAUCCAGUCAGCUAAACAUCAACAAGCAGCGCUGUCACCCACUGUGGUCUCUGAAUACCAGUUUUCUCAAGAGCCAAAGCUCCUUGGCGAAACGGAUCAAUCCAGGUCUGAGAAAAUGAGGAUGCUUGACAUCAAAGACUACUGGAGUCUGCGAUGGAACUUUCCAGUGAGGCAGUUUACCUUCUCCUACUGAGCCUCCAUUAAUAAAAGUAGAGGGAAGUUGUAAGGACAGACUGUCCUGGAAAGAACUGAUCAAUGGAGAAAACUACAACCCGAAGUAAAUGAACUGACACCUGGAACUGGGACCCAACAGCUAAGUACUGCACCAAUCUUUCCCCCACCCUCUAAACCAGUGGUUCUCAACCUUCCUAAUGCCAUGACCCUUUAAAACAGUUCAUGUUGUGGUGACCCCCAACCAUAAAGUUAUUUUCGUUGCUACUUCAUAACUGUAAUGUUGCUACUGUUAUGAAUUGUACUGUCAAUAUCUGAUAUGCAGGAUGUAUUUUCAUUGUUACAAAUUGAACAUAAAGCAUAGUGAUUAAUCACAAAAACAGUAUGUAAUUAUGUAUGUGUUUUCCGAUGGUCUUAAGCGACCCCUGUGAAAGGGUUGUUGGACCCCCAAAGCGACCCACAGGUUGAGAACCGCUGCUCUAAACCAAGGCUACCCUGGAAAAUCAUCCAGAUUAAAAGGCUGCAGACCACAUCA